UGGGGAAUAUUGCGCAAUGGGGGAAACCCUGACGCAGCAACGCCGCGUGAGUGAGGAAGGACUUCGGUCUGUAAAGCUCUGUUAAUGUGGAAAAAUGCUUAGUGGUCUAGUAGGCCAUUGAGUUGAUGGUACACAUAGAGGAAGCACCGGCUAACUUCGUGCCAGCAGCCGCGGUAAUACGAAGGGUGCAAGCGUUGUUCGGAUUUAUUGGGCGUAAAGCGCACGUAGGUGGACCUAUAAGUCAGAUGUGAAAUCUCGGGGCUCAACCUCGAAACUGCGUCUGAAACUGUGGGUCUAGAAUCUUGGAGGGGGAAGGGGAAUUUCUCAUGUAGGGGUAAAAUCCGUAGAUAUGAGAAGGAACACCAGAGGCGAAGGCGCCUUCCUGGACAAGUAUUGACACUGAGGUGCGAAAGCGUGGGGAUCAAACAGG
rnacentral:rRNA from 1 species